UUAGAGCUGAAAGAUGAAUCUUCAAGGCUAUGACCAGCUCCUUCAUUCCUUCUAUCAUCCCCAAGGCUAAAAAAAAACACCUGUAGCUUUGUACACUUUCCUAGUCCCCUCUGAGAAAUGCCACCCAUGGUCCGGCACCCCAAAACUCACCCUAUUCUUCCUCCUGGGCAUCUCUUUCUGUUCAGGAUUUAACAGCUAGUAUUGGGAAGCAGGAAAAUACUUGGCUAAACAGAAAGGAUUUGCAUGCAGAGCAGCUGCUUUCAUGAAUGAGAUGAGCAUGUGCAAAACUCUCCAUUAUCAGUGUGUAACCUGCUCACAAAUAUUUAAAUAGUGGUGAUUUGUGAAAAUCCUGCAAAGUGUGUCAUCAGUCUUUCUUCAGCUAAAAAAAAAAAAAAGGCGGGGGGUUAUUUUUCAACUUGGCUAUUUGCUUGAUUUAAGUGCGCUCAGCCAUGUGUUGAGGGCACAAAAAGACAGAAGCAAGUAAUUAAGCAGACCAGUUGCACUCCACAAAUAACAAAUAAUUGAGAUGAAGUGUUUAGAGACAGUUCAUAGGCUAAAAGUCAUUUUACAUGACUAGUGAGUGCUUGUGAAAAAUAUACGCACUUGUGCGAGAAAGGGGUGGCUCAUGAAUAACAUGCAAACCAGAAAUAAGGUAUCAAAUCUGGAAAAGGAUUUUUUGAGACUUUUAUCACCUUGCUGUGUUGGUCUAAAAGUCUAACUAGACCCAUAGGCACUCUCAAGUAGUCAGCAGAGAGGUCUGUACACUUAUUAAAUGAGUUGCCUCUCACUUUGGAGAUGCAGUCCUUUCCCAUUGCUCCUGGAAGGAGCAUAAACCCUGGGGUUAUUCAAGACAUCUUACUUCAAACCAGGUAAAGUCAAGGGAAAAGUGCUGCUCACAGAGUGAAUUCCCAGCUCCGUUACUAUCAAAGGCAAUUUUGCCUUUGUUCAGUAUUUUCUGAACAAGAGUCUUCCCGUUUAGGAAGCAACGUCCCCCAGAAACUUAGAGGAAAUGUACAAAAUUAUAGGACAGGGUGAGUGCUAAACCUUAAGCUUACAAACAAGCAAAAAGAGCAGCAGAUAGCCAAUAUUUCUGUGCCUUUCCAAAAGCCUUUUUUUUUUUUUCCCCAUCGUGGGCAAUAGUAUUGAAACUGGCAUAAUCCACAACCUAGACCAGACUUUUUAAGUGAAGUGGUUGAAAUCAAAAGGUAUCUAGGGUUUGUUUCUUUGUUUGUUUUUUUAAAUUGUGCUUUUUGGUAAAAUAAGCCAUAGUGCCAUCCAGUUUUGCCAGAGUGGAUAUUAAAUGUUAUGGUAUUUGAAGUGGGCCUCUGCGUAGCAACACCAUUGUGAGCUUGUCCAGAAUGUCCCGGUAACACUGGCUGUCACUUUUUUACCUCUUUCCCUGCAAAGUUACCCAUCCCUAGGUUUCUGGCAGCCGGUAAUAUCCUCCCUGCUCACUGUAUGGAAGGAGCAUGGUGAGAGUUUGUGGAAGACUAAUGAACCAGCGCUGUGUUGGGAACUAUCAUAACCUGGUGUAGUUGUCUUUAUUUGCGAUGUGUUCUCAUGCCACUUUGGGAGGUGCCGGUGGGAGAAAGACACUCCUCACUCAUGCUGUUUGCCAAAAUUUCCAAGAGUGAACAUCCCCCAGCGUGGUUUGGGUGUAAUCUGGUCCAGCAGUUCUUGCAGAGCUACGUGUAAGUUUGCAGUAUAUCAGACGUUAUCAACUGACGAGCAAAAUGACUUAUCAACAUUACAGUGGUUGUACUUUGACAGGUAUUCAAACUGAAAGAUCAAUUUACAUUUUCUGAAAGGAAAGAAUAUGCAGUAGAUUAGUUUUGAAAUGGUUUUUAGUACAAGGAAUGAAACUACUUACAUCGGUGAUUUUCUAAGGUUACAUUUGGUUUUGCUGUAUUUUUAUUCUCCUCUUCUAGAUGCAAUUCAUAUUUGCUAAGGAUUCUGAGCAUUGCAUUAGAAUAAGGAAGACUUGGAGGGCAAUUUCAGAAAAAUAGAUAUCCAAAUCACUACCAUAAUCCUUCUGGCUCUUUGAAAAUGAAAAGUAGAGUGUUUCAGAGAGCUGUUUAUUGGAAAGAUUAGUUUUAUCAUGAAAUUAUUACUUCAGCACAUGGUUUGAGAUUGGCCAUUACCUUAGAAAGUUCACAGAUGAAAACACAGGGAGAGCUGCCAAUGAAAAAGACCUAAUGACUGAAAGAGUCUUUUCCUUGGGUGCUUUUUUUUUUGCCUAUAGCUAUGUAUUGGCUUCACCUGGGAGAAGUAAACAAUCUGUUAAAAGCCAAGGAUAGAAAAAGUAAGUUAAAGCUCUACUGUAAAUUCUGUAAAUCGACUGAUUUUGUAGGAGAAAGCCAUUUUACUUAUUUAUUAAUAGUGCUAGGUAAAUGUUGAAAAAACCCAAAGUAUUUAUGAACGAGUGAUUUUUAAAAAUACACUUUUUUGUUCUUUCUUCAGGAAUAAUCUGGCUGUGUUUACGCGGCAGACUGGAAAAGAGCUCUUAGUCCUUUUGAAUGCGUGUGUGCAUAUAUGAACAGCAUGUGAUGAUAUAACAGACCCAUUAAAGGGAAGGCUUUACAUGCAAAAGGCAAAGACAAUUCCUCUGAUGUUUGGUAAUGCGUUGACAGCCUUAACCUAGCUGCUUUAUUAGAGGUAACCCCUUGGGGAAGACCUCAUCUAGAUCACCUAAAAGCAGAAACCAAUUGCUGCCAAUUGAAUGCUCUAAGUUUUCUUGCAGCACCAUUUCACAAUCUGCCUAGUUUAGCUGUGGAAGGACCCCAGGACCAAACUGUCUUUCAUUACGUAAUGGAGACUCAGUUGCUGUUAACUGAAGCUCUGAAUUCAUACUCCUUCCACAUAUGGAAAACUCUCAUGUCCAUAGUGAUGGACCUUGAAUAAAUAUAUGGAUGGAUAUGUACUCAUGGCCAUUCCUGAUAUGGAGACACAUAUGUUGGAAGAAGACUUCUACUGUCGUAGUCUUUCAUUGUAUUUUCUCAUUUGCUCUUUUUCCAUUUUGGUUUGAUUUUUGGCCAGCGUAGGAAUUUUCUUGAGUAAAACCUAAAUACUUCCAUCAGGAAUCAGUCCCCCUGGGUUAAAAAAAUGGAAGUUAAAGGAAAGCGGGUUUUGAAGUUCAGAGUCGUAUAGUGAAUUUUCAUGUCAAUAUAGCAUUUUUGUGAUGAGAGGCAAGGGGUAUUAUUGAAACUUCAGCAGAGAGGGGCGAAAGGAGAAUGAGAUCAGUGUCCCUUUAAAUGUCUCACACAGGUUGCAUGAAAGCAGGCUUAUAUCAGUCUCCGGAUACCAAGGUUUUAUUUAUAAAAAUAAAUUCUUCCAGAAAAUGUCCCCAACUGGUGUCAUGUUGUUGAGUGCUAAUGGCUACAUUAGCAGUUAGCUGCAGUUGUACAUAUGUCCAUCCAUCUGCCUUAUGACUUUGUAUCCGAGGAAGGUGCUGUGCGUUAGUUACUCUGUGUAAAAGUCUGCUUUUAAUGUGUGUAAAGAAAAAGAUUGCAGGCGGUGGUGAUACACUGGGCUAAAGCCACUUAUUGGUGGCCAGAUUAAGCCCUUUGCUCUAGACACACUUGUCCCUGGGUAGAAGGAACCACAGUUAAGCCCAGGCAAUAAAAUGGAUUUAAUGGAAUUAUGGACAUGUCCUUUUUCAAUUUUUUUUCUCAGUCAAUCCUACAGUUUUAAUUUGUAAUUGAAUACCUUUUAAAUUGGCAAAACAACUCUUCUUCGAGUGGGUUGGUCUAUUUAUUUUGCACAAGGUACUGGAGUAUUCUUGCUGGGAGGGGGUCAGAUGCUGCAAAAUAGUAUUUGCACUUUCUCAUUGCAGUUCAAUUGCAGUUCAUUUUGCCUACACCUGGGGCGGCUUUUUACUUGCCACAGGUAAAAAUUUCCCUUUUGGCAGGCAGCCAGAGUGAGACAACGCAGAUUCAAAUCUUAGUGGGACUUUGCACCAAGUCUCCACGUGAGGCUAGAAUUUAUAAUAGAAGACAUACCGUUGCAAUGGGAAGAAUAGAAGUACCUUGCUUGAUAAGGAGGGGUUACUGUCAUGGGAAUAUGUUGUUUAUUCAUUUCUUACUAUUUCUCUGUUUAGGAAGUUUCAGUCUUCCAGUCAGAGAGAAGAGACACAGACAUUGAAAGCCUGUGGAACUCUUGAUGGGAACAGACAUUUCCUGACUCUGACCACAAUAAGAUGUCUGCUACUUGUAACGCUGCAGUCCUCUCCCCCACCAGAUCAAUUCAAAAUCGAUUAUAUGCAUCUAGGGCAAAUGCAAUGGAACAGGCAAGCUGCGGAUAGAAUGUGAAAUGAGCAUGCAGGAUUGCCAGCUGUGGCACUUAAAUCUCAGAAAUAUGUCCACCUCUCCACCCGCUCAUCCCCACAAGGAAAUAUUUGCCUGGAAUACUGUAAGAAUAGAUGCCCACCUAAGUGUAUCGGGUUUUUCUUUUCAUUUACCAGCAGUUUGAAGUAGUUAAAGCUCUUCUGAUUGCAGCUGUGAUACUUCAUGCUGUCAUUGAUUUCUGUAAAGAAGGUGCUACGGUUGGUCUGCGCUUCCCAUGGUUGACCACAGCUUCACCUGGUCGUAAAGGCUAGGUGUGAAUUCUUCCUUCUAGCGAGAAAAACACAUUUGUGCAUGCUGGUGUGAAGCUUGCUGGCGAGGAGAAGAGUCAGGCUUUUGUUUGAACUGGAAGGCUGAUGAACAGACUUUUUAGAAGGUGGGAAGGUACGGACAACACAGCAGAUGGAUACAAAGUGGUCGACGUGGCAGCCCAUCCUUUCAGAGAGGGGGGAAACACGUGUGUGUGUCCAUGAAGAGAAAGAGCAGGGACUACUUAAAAAGGGAAAUGCACCAAUGCCUUAGGAAAACAAAAAGUGAACCUGCAGACUUUGUUCCUCUCUGCAAGAUGACCCGCCUUAGGAAUGCAAAUUUGCAGACUGUUCCAGGGUGAUCUGUGAGAAGAAAAUGGGAAACGCUGCCUCUAUCUCUGCCCUGUCCGGUAGCUGUCCUAGGAGCAGCCUGGAACCUGAGAUAAUUUGGUGCUGCUAAUUCUCCCAACGUCUUCCAGAAAUGGGAAAAAAGGAUCUAUAUUAGGAAACGUGUUCUUCCUUUCUUCAGCAAAAUUGCGCAUCAAACAACCAGAAUUUGCAGUUUCCAUCUGCUACAAGCUGGGCCUUGGGUUGGAGACAUAGGGCAGCAGGCUGCUGCUCUCUGAAGGAGCACAGGAUUUAGGAUCUAUCUGCACCACAGUACGAAGAGUUCGUUUACCUCUUCCUGGAACAAGGCAGUCCAGCCCGCUUGCUCUCCCGGCGCCAUGACAAAGGGAGGCUUUGCUUCUCGUCUCGCUUUAAUGAGAAUAAUACAGAGCUGCUCAGCUGCCCUCACCCUUGCUUACUUAACAGCACCUCAAUCCUGCACAGAAAAAUGCAGUGGGAAAACUCAAUAUCCACGUGGCGCAUGUUAUGCUCAUCUGUUCCUCAGUAAUUACCGUGAUACCCGUGGUGAGCCACCCAGGCAGCCACUGCACAGGAAAUGAAAAUGUGCUAAAUGAACGUAGUGGAGAGGAUGGGCAGGCCAAUGAAGACACCUUAAAACAAGUGGCUUCCCUCAGAUGAACGGAGGAACAAACACAUGCAUUGUUUACACGCUGUUCAUCAACCUCAUCAUACU